UAAUUCGAAGAUACGCGAAAAACCUUACCUGGCCUUGACAUUGAUAGAAUCCUGUAGAGAUACGGGAGUGCCGGCUUGCCGGAACUUGAAAACAGGUGCUGCACGGCUGUCGUCAGCUCGUGUCGUGAGAUGUUGGGUUAAGUCCCGCAACGAGCGCAACCCACGUCCUUAGUUGCCAGCAUUUCGGAUGGGAACUCUAAGGAGACUGCCUUCGCAAGGAGGAGGAAGGUGUGGACGACGUCAAGUCAUCAUGGCCCUUACGGCCAGGGCUACACACGUGCUACAAUGGGGCGUACAAAGAGCAGCAAUACCGCGAGGUGGAGCAAAUCUCAAAAACGCCUCCCAGUUCAGAUUGCACUCUGCAACUCGAGUGCAUGAAGUUGGAAUCGCUAGUAAUCGUAGAUCAGCAUUGCUACGGUGAAUACGUUCCCGGGUCUUGUACUCACCGCCCGUCACACCAUGGGAGUUGAUUUCACCCGAAGCGGGGAUGCUAAAGUAGCUACCUUUCACGGUGGAAUCAGCGANUGGGGUGAAGUC
rnacentral:rRNA from 1 species